rnacentral:lncRNA from 1 species
UAGAGAUUUUCUUUAUUUUCUAUUGGAUUUCAGUUGCUGAUGGAUUUCAGUUUAUCUUUUCGGGUUUAGACGUUUGUCGAUUCGUAAACCCAUGCUUCCAUGAUGCAUCAAAUGGUAUCAAAGCCAGGUUAUCAUCCAAAGCAAAGAUUUGUCUUCUCAAUGAUGAGCGGCGAUGGGAGGUACGCAAACCUCAUUGACGACGGUCGUGGGGAAAUAUAAAAUAUUGAAGGGGAACCUGCUGGUGGAUUUGCCCGAAGCCAACCUCAUCAAUCCUAUGUUGCAGAUGUUCCACGCUUGGGACGUUACUGCAUUGAAGGGUUUCUAGAAUGGGUUGCAGGUGUAGAGGAAAUAUUUGAUACAACAGCAAUUUCAGAAGAGAAGAUUGUGAAAAUUAUUGUGUCCCGUUUAAGAAGCGAUGUCGCUUCUUGGUGGGAUCAGUGCUAAAAUCUAUGAAGCAACAACAUAAAAAUCCUAUCACUUCUUGGCGUAGGAUGAAGAGACAUCUUGUGGAAAAAUUCUUUUCUUUUGAAUAUGAUGUAUACUUCUCAAUGAAUUGUUACAAGAUUGAUCAACUCAAAAUUAUGGCGAGUGAAGAAAAGAUGGAGGUCAAAGAAGAAUAAAUUGUAAUGGAGGUUGAAUUAAUUGAUGAUCCAGUAAUCCACAGGACGGAGGGAAAAAUUGAAGGUAUGAAUAUAUCCGAAUUUGUGGAGGAAACACAUUUAUCCAAGGAGUUUGAUUAUCAACUAGCAUAUUCUAAUCUUGUUUAUGGAAUUAAUUGUAUGAUUAUUUCAUCCAAGUAUGAGCAAGUUUGGACUCCAAGAAUUGAAGAGUUUAUUCACACAUCAAAUUCUAUGUCUACCCAAGUUCAAUUCAAGGAGAACUCGAGGUCGAGUUCUUUACAAUUGAAGGGGUCUGAUGUAAGACAAAUCAUGUGUUUGUUCCUACAAAGGAAAUUUGAAAAAGGGGGAAAUUACAAAAUCAGAAAAUUGGGCUUCAAAUAUGGAAAAUCAUGCUUGAGCAUCAAUUAUGGCACUAGGAAAAGAAGGAAGGCGCAUCGUUGGGAUUUUCGGGUUGCUUGAUUUCUUAAGAAGGU